AGCGAACGCUGGCGGCAGGCCUAACACAUGCAAGUCGAACGAAGUCUUCGGACUUAGUGGCGGACGGGUGAGUAACACGUGGGAACGUGCCUUUAGGUUCGGAAUAACUCAGGGAAACUUGUGCUAAUACCAAAUGUGCCCUUCGGGGGAAAGAUUUAUCGCCUUUAGAGCGGCCCGCGUCUGAUUAGCUAGUUGGGGAGGUAAAGGCUCACCAAGGCGACGAUCAGUAGCUGGUCUGAGAGGAUGAUCAGCCACAUUGGGACUGAGACACGGCCCAAACUCCUACGGGAGGCAGCAGUGGGGAAUCUUACGCAAUGGGCGAAAGCCUGACGCAGCCAUGCCGCGUGGAUGAUGAAGGUCUUAGGAUUGUAAAAUCCUUUCACCGGUGAAGAUAAUGACUGUAGCCGGAGAAGAAGCCCCGGCUAACUUCGUGCCAGCCGCCGCCGUAAUAC
rnacentral:rRNA from 1 species